rnacentral:rRNA from 1 species
AAUAGAUACCCGGGUAGUCCACGCCGUAAACGAUGAGUGCUAAGUGUUAGAGGGUUUCCGCCCUUUAGUGCUGCAGCUAACGCAUUAAGCACUCCGCCUGGGGAGUACGGCCGCAAGGCUGAAACUCAAAGGAAUUGACGGGGGGCCCGCACAAGCGGUGGAGCAUGUGGUUUAAUUCGAAGCAACGCGAAGAACCUUACCAGGUCUUGACAUCCUCUGACACUCCUAGAGAUAGGAUUUUCCCCUUCGGGGGACAGAGUGACAGGUGGUGCAUGGUUGUCGUCAGCUCGUGUCGUGAGAUGUUGGGUUAAGUCCCGCAACGAGCGCAACCCUUGAUCUUAGUUGCCAGCAUUUAGUUGGGCACUCUAAGGUGACUGCCGGUGACAAACCGGAGGAAGGUGGGGAUGACGUCAAAUCAUCAUGCCCCUUAUGACCUGGGCUACACACGUGCUACAAUGGAUGGUACAAAGGGCUGCAAGACCGCGAGGUUUAGCCAAUCCCAUAAAACCAUUCUCAGUUCGGAUUGCAGGCUGA